rnacentral:lncRNA from 1 species
GUUUGAUGAAGUCCUACCAAUGUAGGCUACAAGAUUGAGUUGUUUUGAGGUCAAAUCGAAGUAACUCAGUUCAUGAUCCUCAAAAUUCAACCCCUGUAUCUUUUCAUAUACUUGGAAUUGGACAAAAUUGAGGCCAGAUUUGAGCUCCUAAGCAUUUUUUUUUAUUUAAAUCCAUGUCUUGCUUUUUCAUUUUGGAGAUGGUUGAUGGUGGACCAGUUUGGUUAGGUCCACUAGAGAAGAAGACCGAAGCUCUGGCUCCGGUGAUUUAUUGUCACACAUCUCAGCCACAUGAUCCAUUUAAAAUAUUUUAAUCUCAGCCUUUGGUUCUGAUUAUAAUUGUUGCAGCACGCUUGACCUGGUGCAUGGUG